CACGUAGGGGCCAAGCGUUGUCCGGAUUUAUUGGGCGUAAAGAGCUCGUAGGCGGUUGGGUAAGUCGGGUGUGAAAACUCCAGGCUCAACUUGGAGACGCCACCCGAUACUGCUCUGACUUGAGUUCGGUAGGGGAGUGGGGAAUUCCUGGGUGUAGCGGUGGAAAUGACGCAGACGUAUCAGGAGGAACACCGAUGGCGAAGGCAGGUCUCUGGGCCACUACUGACGCUGAGAAGCGAAAGCAUGGGGAGCGAACAGG
rnacentral:rRNA from 1 species